rnacentral:rRNA from 1 species
AUUGAACGCUGGCGGCGUGCUCUACACAUGCAAGUCGAACGGUAACAGGCCGCAAGGUGCUGACGAGUGGCGAACGGGUGAGUAAUGCAUCGGAACGUGCCCAGUCGUGGGGGAUAACUACUCGAAAGAGUAGCUAAUACCGCAUACGAUCUAUGGAUGAAAGCGGGGGACCGUAAGGCCUCGCGCGAUUGGAGCGGCCGAUGUCAGAUUAGGUAGUUGGUGGGGUAAAGGCUCACCAAGCCAACGAUCUGUAGCUGGUCUGAGAGGACGACCAGCCACACUGGGACUGAGACACGGCCCAGACUCCUACGGGAGGCAGCAGUGGGGAAUUUUGGACAAUGGGCGCAAGCCUGAUCCAGCAAUGCCGCGUGCAGGAAGAAGGCCUUCGGGUUGUAAACUGCUUUUGUACGGAACGAAACGGCUCUGGUUAAUACCCGGGGCUAAUGACGGUACCGUAAGAAUAAGCACCGGCUAACUACGUG